AAUGUAUAUCAAUAUUUCUGGUGUUUAAAAUAUUGUGCAAAUUAAUUUAAAGUGUUGAUUUUUUUAAUUUAUAAAUUUAUAAUUACCUUGAGUGGUCUGACGACAGUCACUGUUUCAAUCACCGUUGUUUGUGCCAUUGUUAAUGAUUUUUCACAAUUUAUUUAUCAAACUUGUUCAAUCUAAAAUAAUAAAAUAAUAUUAUUAUUUAAUUUACAAUUAUUAUUAAUUUUUAAAUGUUAAAUUAAACAAGCUAAGUGGACAAAAAAAAUUUGUGUACAUCACUCAACAACACCUUUUGUUAAAAUGAAUUUUUAUUUUAUUUUUUUUUUCCUCGUUUUCACCUUUCUUAUCGCAUUUGACUAGAAAAAAAAAAUUUUUUUUAAAUUAUUUUUAUGCGUCAUUGAUGACAUAUAUGGUAAUCGAUGACAAAACAAAAUUUACUCGACUCCAAAAAUAAAAAGAUAAUAAAUAUAAUAUUUUUAAAAAUAUAAAAUCUAUAUAUUUAUUUAAAUAAAUAAAUUGAUGAUAAUAUUAAAGUUGAAUUUUUUUAUUAUACUUACAAAGAGACGCUAGAUUAAUAAUUAAAUGAAGCCAAGAAAGUAAAUGUUGUUUGUUGAAUAAAUUGACUUGUUGCAAGAUGACGAUGACACAUAUCUAAAUGUUAUUUGUCAGCAGAAUAACAAAUACUCAAUUGAACUGCUGAUUGAUAAAAUGUUUUUUCAAUUUUUAUUUUCGUUGAGGAUAUUAAAAUAAUUUAUUCUAUGAUAAGAAUAAAUACAACGUGUUGAUUGUUGAAUUUUUGUUGAUAUGUGUUGAUAUGCUUGGCAUGCUGUCACACUUUUACUCACUUUUACUACAUAUACUAUGACAUUUUAUUUUUUUUUUUUUUUCAUUUUACAUAUAGUUUAUUGUGUUAAAACGUCACUUGAAAAAAUAUUCAUAAUGUAUAGUAUAGUAUAGUAGUGACUAGUGUGUUAAAAGAAAAAAAAAAACUUUUAGAAUUUUUAUAACUGCUAUAUUUUUUAAUGAAAUGAAAUUAUAUAUUUUUAUUAUUAUAAUUUUAUUUUAAUUAAUUAUUAUGAUUUUAAAUUAUUAGAUUAUUUUUAAAUUUUAUAUUUUGGGUUUAACAGUUCAAAUUUUGCCUCGUAAAAAUGGCGUUCUUUUUGUAGUUGAAAUUAAGAAAACUAGAGGACUCGAUUUUCUAAAUAGAGGGCUUUAUUUCCGGUUGCACCAGUUGAUCCUGGUCCGUAAAAUUUCGUAAAAUGUCUUUCCACUUUGACCAGGACUCCACACUGUCAUCAACGUUUUUUAAAUUUUUAUUGCAAUCAAUUGCAAUUUAAUUGUCAAGUGUGUUUAAUUAUUUUUUACAUACAAUUAUGAACUAUAAUAAUUGUUACAAUAAAAAAAAUGUGCGGAGAAAUUCGGAGUGAUCUUAAAAGAAAUAAAUACAUUGAAUAAAAAUGAAGAAAUUUUUGUUGGGCAUCACGUGAUUUUAACGAAAUUAGUAAUUAUUUCUACUGAUCAAUCAAAUGGAGUAUUAAGAGAUGCAACAGAUAACAAUUGGCACGUUGUGAAAAUGGAAAUGAGGAAACACAAGAUUUAACAGAUAACAGAUGGAAAGUUAUCAAAUUGGCAACCUGAAAUUUACAAGGUUUUAUUGCUAUGACAAUAAUAAUGGAGAAAAAGCACCAAGAGAGAAAAGCUACUUUUUGUAAAUCAUAAUCAAAAGUAUGCUUGAUCUCAAGCCCAGCACAGAUUGACUCUACUGAGCUCCAUAUAAUUUUUUUUUUGUCGUAAUGAUGAGAUGCAACAUACAACAGUUGGCAAAUUGUGACAAUGGAAAUUAGGAAAUAAUACAAGGUAAUUUUUACUUGACAAUAAAUAAACUAGAUUAAAAUUUUUCAAUUAAUUGACGUGAUGAUAAACAACCGAAUCAACCUGAGUUCAUGAUUAAUAAAUUACAUGCACUACCAACUGAAGCUUUUUAUUAUUACAAAAAAAUAUAUUAAUAUAUUGUUGGAGUAGAUGAUUAAUUUAUUUGUUUUAAUUUGUUAUAGAUGCAACAGAUAACAGUUGGCACGUUGUGACUAUGGAAAUAAGGAAUUACAAGGUAAUUUUUACUUGACAAUAAAUAAAUUAGUUUAAUAUUUUUUAAUUAAUUGACGUGAUGAUAAACAAC